AGUGAACGCUGGCGGUAGGCCUAACACAUGCAAGUCGAACGGCAGCACAGUAAGAGCUUGCUCUUACGGGUGGCGAGUGGCGGACGGGUGAGGAAUAAAUCGGAAUCUACUUUUUCGUGGGGGUUAACGUAGGGAAACUUACGCUAAUACCGCAUACGACCUACGGGUGAAAGCAGGGGAUCUUCGGACCUUGCGCGAUUGAAUGAGCCGAUGUCGGAUUAGCUAGUUGGCGGGGUAAAGGCCCACCAAGGCGACGAUCCGUAGCUGGUCUGAGAGGAUGAUCAGCCACACUGGAACUGAGACACGGUCCAGAGUCCUACGGGAGGCAGCAGUGGGGAAUAUUGGACAAUGGGCGCAAGCCUGAUCCAGCCAUACCGCGUGGGUGAAGAGGGCCUUCGGGUUGUAAAGCCCUUUUGUUGGGAAAGAAAAGCAGCAGGUUAAGACCCCGCUGUUCUGACGGUACCCAAAGAAUAAGCACCGGCUAACUUCGUG
rnacentral:rRNA from 1 species